UUUUUUCACUUAGUUGGAGGUUGUUAAAAGUAAAAAAUGAUCAAAAUGAUCAAUCCAAAAAAGCGAAGGCGACUUUUUUGUCAGUAUCAUGAUACAAUGUGGAACCUAUCGAACGGGUGUAACUUCAUCGAAAUUUCCUGGUGGUGGGGCGUCCCGCGACGCCCCUGAUAUCGAGGCGCCCGGGUUAUUCGCACACCCUGCACCAUAGGUUAAGACGGCCCUGCAUGAGAUACAGCAUGUAAUGUAGACAACCCGGACAGCGGAUUCUUAGUAACAGGGUCCCGUUUCCUCCUUUUGGGUACCGAUAAAGAGUUAAUAAAGAAUAGAGAGCGAGCGUUGCGAGCACGAAUUCUUCAGCAAAACUACUCUACCUGUAACUAUGUCCUGAACCUGGCCCAGGGGGGGGUCAUGACCUUGUGACCUACCCCCUGGAUCCGCCGUUGAAC